GAAACUGUGAAAUACUCUUUCCGCUCGACUUUGAUCGAAUUCGUGUUCGUAUCGUUUGAAACACGAGCACAAUUCAUCGUCUUCUCGGCUUGCCUGUUCGCGACUUCAGAGUUUUUCCAGUCUAUCCAUGUCUGUGCGCAUGCGCCCCUCCCCAUUCUCUCACUGGUGGAGUGCACCUGUUGCUACUUUGCGAAUUUUCCUACAUUCGUAGUCUAAGUGCUCCCAUUGGCUGUAUCUGUGCCACACAUGAGGCCAGGAGAAGGAGACCCCCUCUCCAUCUCCAAAAAGUGAAGAAAAAGAAGAAGAAAAAGGGGUCUAAGUCUAUUAGUCAAUUAGUCUACCGUCGAAUACCGUGGGAAGUAGAUAAAAGAAGACGAACUUGACAGCCGUCCGCGGAACCUGAUAGGAGAGCUGCUUUGACAAAAAUGCCUCAAAAAUUCGAAUUUUUUUAGUGGACUCUUAAGGGAAAAACCUUGGAAAAAUCCUUGAUUUUUGAGCCCUUUCGACGAAAGGAAGGACGUGAAGAAUGUUUGUCUAACUUUUAAUCGAUUCGGUUUUUCAUUCGAAUGAAAAUUGGAUUUCAACGAAGCGAAGAUCGAAAAACACUUUUGACCUUUGCUGGAAAUUAACUGCAAAAUAUUGCUUCUAGUCCAAAAAAAUAUAAACAAUGAAACUUUUAUACCUUUUGUGAUAUUUCUGCUGAUUUCAAACUCAAAGAAGAUUUGAAUGUAUGUGAUGAUAAUUGAGUACGUCCAUACGCUUUUAUACCAUCCCGGCCGGGGUCCAUUUGUUUACUUUGGAUUCAUCGAGUCCGGGGAACCCCUCGGAACGCGUAUACACAUAAGAUACACAUGAGAUAAAGAAAUAGCGUGUAAAUGCGUUGUAAAAAAGUUGACUCAGAGAACUCAUGCGUCGGGAAUCACCGCGACCUCGAAUCCACGACGAUGCAUUCAUUCGAGUUUUUUCCUUGUUUCAAAGCCACUGUACAGAGUGUCUCAAUAUUCGCGUUCAAUCCGCAGAGCGGAUAACAAACUCGAAAACUUCGUCUUCAUGGAUUUUUUAUGGUGGUGAACGGGCGUUGGAGGCUCUCCUGCUUUCACGGUUCCUACAAAGGCU